GUAUAAAGCCGUGUGCUGAUAAGCUUUAGGCUCCCCUCAGAUAAGAAACGAUAUACCUGGUUGGAAUGAGAGUGAGGAGGAGGAGGAAGGGGGUCGAAGUAACUAGAGGUUGUUUUACCUCUAUCUCGAGUCACUGGACUGAUGGUUGAGCGAGGGGGAGGGACGGUUGGAUGAAUAAAAAGAGGCACUUGGGGCCGGAUAUAGGGUUUUUGGACUUAAAUGGCGUGCGGUGGUGAGGCUCGAUGUUCUCGACUGACGGCCCUGUCGGUUGAAGUCACAUGAACUGCUGCCAGUGAAGUUGAAGUGGAAAGGGAACGGUUACUGGGUGAAUUCCACGAGGCGAUUGAAGCGACGUGAUAUGGAAAAAAUGAGAAAAAAAAUACUGAUUCCAGCGACACCGGAUACUAUGAACGUCCAUUGGGGAAAGGUGGUAUUCGCGGGAGAAUUUAAACACGCGGAGAAAUGGAGGCGUUUGAAUAUUUAUCAACGUUAUUAUGUAAUUAUUCUUGUAACCGCUUCAUCGCCGAAGUUGUUAAGCUAUUUUUUAGAACAUUCGAGUGAUUUUCGAUUUCUAAUGUCAUACGGAACAGAUAAACACAAGCAAUGGCGAGGGUUGAGGCGAAAACUUUUCUGAAAUCUCAUUUGAUUGAAAAUUUAAUUCUUUGGGAUUUUGAUGUUUUGGAAGGAGUUGGAAAAUUCAAACUUCAAAUGACAAAAUAAUGAUUGUUCAACAUGAAAACCCAGUUUUCUUAAAGUUUUAAGAGGAAUUCAAACCACGUUCGGACUGAAAUUUCAAAAAACUUCUAGCCGAGUUUCGAUUUUUUUCUAUGAAAGUUCUUUUGCAGGUUUAUAAAUUAUUAGUUUGUCCACAAAAAUAGUAUAGAUGAAAGGAGGGGAGAAAUAUUGGAAGACAUCGAAUUAAAAUACGGAAUAGAAACCAACAUAAUACUCAUUCAAAUUCCAGAGAGAAGUUUUUGAAAAAAAGAAAGAAAAAUGUAAAUACGGUGGAGGGCAAUUGUUAUACAAUUCGCAACAUUACCCUCCCCGGUGGAUGGAAGAUUGUAAUCUCAACAAUCAGUAAAACUUAUCGAGAGCGACGGAAAUAUUAGAAACCUUAAUGAACUGAGAUGCGAGUUAUCAGCCCCCCAUAUAUUUCGUUCUCUCUGGACGUAUCCGUGGGAACACAUCGCAAUAUAUGUGAUAAGUAGGCUUCAUAUAUCGUAAGUAUAUACACGAAUAUAUGUUAUGUAGGGACCACAUGCCUCGCUAUAUAGCCAUUCUAUUCCAAUCAUCUAUCAAUUUUCAUGGAGGGAACAUGAAUUAAAAUUAUUUUAGCAUUCAAACAUUGAAGGUGUAAAUUUCAUGUCUUAGUUUGAAAUAUAUGCACCAUUGCUUCUUGAGGAAGACAGCCAUUCUUCGGAGGCUGGGACUUCCUUUUAAAAUGACUUUCUUUAGUUUACUCAAGCGCACCCCUUGACAAGGGCAGAGAAAAUUCCAUAUUAAUUUUUUUCAUGCUCACAAUUCUAUCAAAAGAUCACUUCAGGCAAAAAUCAUGUUUUCAAAAGGUUGAACAGCUUCGAUGAGUUAAUUUUAAAAAAAGAUCUUUGAACAUAGAGUAAGAUCUCAAUUACUUAAUGUGUUGUUAAUAAAUAUACUCCAGAUUGAAUAUUCAUAUUUAUUUAUUUUAAAAUUUAUAGUCAAUUUACGUCGACACGUUUUGUAGAAGGUAGUGGAUAAGGGGUAGACAGUAAUUUGGUAGUAGUUGGUGACCGUUCUGACCGGUAACUUCUUGAUAAGAUGAGUGGUUUGUUCGAUGUUUUAAA